rnacentral:rRNA from 1 species
GUGCACCAGGCGCGAAACCUCCGCAAUGCGGGAAACCGUGACGGGGUCACCCCGAGUGCCAUCCGCUGAGGGUGGCUUUUCCCCGGUGUAAGAAGCCGGGGGAAUAAGCGGGGGCAAGCCUGGUGUCAGCCGCCGCGGUAAUACCAGCCCCGCGAGUGGUCGGGAUGUUUACUGGGCCUAAAGCAUCCGUAGCCGGCCCGGUAAGUCCUCCUUGAAAUCCUCGGGCUCAACCCGAGGGCCGGGGAGGAUACUGCCGGGCUAGGGGGCGGGAGAGGCCGAGAGUACUCCCGGGGUAGGGGCGAAAUCCUGUAAUCCCGGGAGGACUACCAGUGGCGAAGGCGCUCGGCUGGAACGCGCCCGACGGUGAGGGAUGAAAGCUGGGGGAGCAAAGGGGAUUAGAUACCCCGGUAGU